AUUGAACGCUGGCGGCGUGCUUAACACAUGCAAGUCGAACGAUGAAGGGGAGCUUGCUCCUCGGGUUAGUGGCGAACGGGUGAGUAACACGUGAGUAACCUGCCCUUGACUCUGGGAUAAGCACUGGAAACGGUGUCUAAUACCGGAUACGAACCUCAGCCGCAUGGCUAGGGGUUGGAAAGAACUUCGGUCAAGGAUGG
rnacentral:rRNA from 1 species